CCUACGGUGAGCAGCAGUCGAGAAUCAUUCACAAUGGGGGAAACCCUGAUGGUGCGACGCCGCGUGGGGGAAUGCAGGUCUUCGGAUUGUAAACCCCUGUCAUGUGGGAACAAAUUAAAAAGAUAGUACCACAAGAGGAAGAGACGGCUAACUCUGUGCCAGCAGCCGCGGUAAUACAGAGGUCUCAAGCGUUGUUCGGAAUCACUGGGGGUAAAGCGUGCGUAGGCUGUUUCGUAAGUCGUGUGUGAAAGGCGCGGGCUCAACCCGCGGACGGCACAUGAUACUGCGAGACUAGAGUAAUGGAGGGGGAACCGGAAUUCUCGGUGUAGCAGUGAAAUGCGUAGAGAUCGAGAGGAACACUCGUGGCGAAGGCGGGUUCCUGGACAUUAACGGACGCUGAGGCACGAAGGCCAGGGGAGCGAAAGGGAUUAGAUACCCGGGUAGUC
rnacentral:rRNA from 1 species